UCCCGCGCCGCGCGUCGGCCAAGGGCCAGCCGGAGCAGGGCGCCUGCGUGCUCCCGGCGCGCUCACUCCCCCUCGCCGUGCCGCGCCCGGGGCCGGAGGAGGCCCCGCUGAGCGCCCGCUCCCCAGGCGCCUUUUCCUGCGCCCGCGGCCCCCGCCUCCCACCUGGGAGGCUGCACCUCCGGCUCCCACCACCGCCGCCGGGACUGCAGCACACCCACCCUCCUCCCUCGGGGCUGCGCCCGGUAAUCGCAAACCGAGUCUCUGCUGCCCCCUGCCGGCCCGAGGGUCCCCUGCUGCUGUAGGUGUGCUCACGUGUGUACACGUAGAUAUUCCAGAAGGAACACAGCCCAAGGACAGAACGUUUUCUUCUCAUUAUUAUGUCCUCACCCAACACCUAGCGUGCUGUCUGGUUCCUGGGAACUUUCCACCAUGCCUCCCAUCAGGACUCCAGCGCUUUGUGUCAUCAGAAAACCUUGGGGAGAGUUCCUUAUGCACUCCUUCCUCCAGAGUAAUGUAGUUUUACAUGUUAAUUAAACAGCCCCUUGCUGUCUCUAAGGAACUCCUUUCAGAAAUGUGCCAUUUAUCCCAAACCUUUGUUUCCUGGCUCAUUUCCUAGACUCAAUAAAAGUGUGCCCUCAUUCUGACUCCUUUUCUUUUCCCUUAGAACAACAUUAUACUU